rfam:Eutrema salsugineum unplaced genomic scaffold scaffold_4, whole genome shotgun sequence.
UAUCCAUGGUGUGGACAAUCUCUUUCGUAUUCCCUAAAUCUUUCCCAAGUAUCUAAAAGAUCUUCAUCUUUUUUUUGUUUAUAAGUUCUUAUCUUGUUUCAUAAGAAA